rnacentral:ncRNA from 1 species
GCCAUCUCAUGGGGGUGCCCGUCCUGACGGCCGGGCUGAGAGGCGGUGGCGCCAACUCCAAGAACCUGAUCCGGGUCGUGCCGGCGGAGGGAUUUGAGAUGGCGAUGGUC